rnacentral:rRNA from 1 species
CCUACGGGCGGCAGCAGUGAGGAAUAUUGGUCAAUGGACGAGAGUCUGAACCAGCCAAGUAGCGUGAAGGAUGACUGCCCUAUGGGUUGUAAACUUCUUUUAUAAAGGAAUAAAACGAGGCACGUGUGCCUUUUUGCAUGUACUUUAUGAAUAAGGAUCGGCUAACUCCGUGCCAGCAGCCGCAGUAAUACGGAGGAUCCGAGCGUUAUCCGGAUUUAUUGGGUUUAAAGGGAGCGUAGAUGGGUUGUUAAGUCAGUUGUGAAAGGUUGCGGCUCAACCGUAAAAUUGCAAUUGAUACUGGCAGUCUUGAGUACAGUUGAGGUAGGCGGAAUUCGUGGUGUAGCGGUGAAAUGCUUAGAUAUCACGAAGAACCCCGAUUGCGAAGGCAGCUUACUAAACUGUGACUGACAUUGAUGCUCGAAAGUGUGGGUAUCAAACAGGAUUAGAUACCCCUGUAGUC